GGAUGAUGAUGAGCGAUGAUAAUGGUGAUGGUCGAUGAAGGGCGAUGGUGAUGGACAAUGAUAAUGAUGGCCGAUGAAGAUGAUGGGCGAUGAUGAUGGUGAUGGGCUAUGGUGAUAGGCGUUGAGGGUAAUGAUGAUGGCCGAUGAAGAGGAUGAUGAUGAUGAUGAUGGGUGGGAGCCGAUGGCACAGGUAUCAGAUUGGCCGCCCUGGAAUUUUUUAAAAUUUUGAAUUAAUCUUUGAUAAGUACGAAGCGGUCGAGGAGAGUCAGCUGUCUCUGUGUGCGAGGAAUCGAUGGCGGAGGUCAAGUUCCAGGUCGACUUCCAUGUCGACUUGCAGGUCGACUUCGAGGUAGACGUGUAGGUCGACUUCCAGGUCGACUUGCAGGUCGACUACCAGGUCGACUUGCAGGUCGACUUGCAGGUCGACUACCAGGUCGACUUGCAGGUCGACUACCAGGUCGACUUGCAGGUCGACUACCAGGUCGACUUGCAGGUCGACUUGCAGGUCGACUACCAGGUCGACUUGCAGGUCGACUACCAGGUCGACUUGCAGGUCGACUUCCAGUCGCCGCUGUGCAUUUCCGAUUCGAUCAAAAACCCUUGCGCGUGUGUUUAUUUUUAUUUCACAUUUUAUGUUUUAAUUACACAGCGAACGUAUCAAAAGUAUUUCCCAGGAUCCAGUGUUCAUUCCUCCAGCCUGCACGCCACUCGUCCCACCCAUCACUUCCUCCUCCUGCUCCCAAAGGCUCCUGGGUCUCGGUGUCGUUAGCAAACCAUCGCAACCCCCCCCCCCCCCCCAACGUGAUCAACGCACUUCUAUCUAUUAUUGUUGUGAUGAUUAUUCAUCUCUCUCCUAUCUCCUCUCUCUCUGUCACUCACUCUCGCUCUCUCUCUCUCGUUCUCUACUCUCAAGCCUCCCCACGGGUGGUCCAGGAGGUGCCGUAACCCCUGGCUCUGCCACGAAAAGGCGGUACACCCAGCAAAGUGUCCAAUCCAGCUGUUUCCCAUCCGUACGGGGAUAGAGCGUUGCCCCCUCGCACACGCGCAUUUUCUCCGGAUGCUCCGAGGUUUCCGCCCAACGUGCAUAAGACGCUCAUCACUAAUCGCCCGAUGGCACCUUGAUACGUAGAGGAGCGCAGAGCUCGGGUAAUCAUUGCUGGCGCCGGCUCCUCACUACCGCGUGGCUGCUGCUGCUGCUGCUGCCUUCCUCGUCUGCGGUUCCUCCUCCUCCUCCUCCCCCUGGCGCCUCUGAGUCGUCCUUUCUCUCUCCCUCCCCUCCGAGUCGUCCCCUCCGUCUCUCUCGCUACGAGAGCGGGGAGUGGACGCCGUGCGGCUUGACAUCGUUGUCACGAACAAGAGGGCGAACGCCUGCACAGCUGAGCCGCAGCACCGCGUCAAGGUUUUGUUGAACCGGGCGGGGAACUCGCGAGGCGCAGAGGACCGUCGAGUCGUGAGCCCGGGGGGUUGUCGAUGUGACGAACAGCAAAACGCGAAAGGGGGGGGGAGGGGAAGGAAAGAACGAAACAGAAUCGCAAUUUCGGACGCGAAAUAAAAAAAAAAACGAUGAAGCACACGCGAAUCGAAUUCCAGACGGCAAGCAACGCACCCUUGCGACUUGCCAGAAAUGAACGACGCAUUUAUAUUAACGCGAGCUAACACUCCACCAGAAAACCCCCAUUAUCAUGAACAAACAUUGGCCUCGAAAGCCCGCUCACUCCUGUCGCUACCACCUCUCGACUUGCUGCGCUGGUUGAGGUUGCUCGUCGUUCGGGACGAUGGAGCUCCGAGUGAUCUCCCCGUGGUCUCGGGGAAAUACUUCUUUAUCGGGCUAACCAUGGUCUUGGUGCCUUGGCUCUGGUCGGCGCGGCGCUGAGACCGUGGCUCCGGGUGACCACGGCUCUGGAACCGUGGUUCUGGAGCCGUGCCUCUUGGGUUCUACGUCUCUGGUUCCAUGUUCUCUGGCUUACCACGGCUCUGGUUACUAUAAGUUCUGGUUCACGUGGCCCCGGUUUAGGAGGGCGCGACUUUUAUUUUUUCUUUUUCCGCGCCCUCUCGGUUUGGAACAAAAACGAGCGGCGGUUUCGAUGUCGGAUUUUUUUUUUUGGCCGCUGAGCGAUGCCCCAGGCUUUUGCUCGCCCCUGCCACCAACGCAGCUCGCGUCGACACCCGUGGAGCUGUAACGCGCUGACGACGUGGCGCUACACCGCCGCUCGUACUUUGACCGACUCAAGAUACAUUUUGCGAGCACGUGUACGCGUCGCUCUCUUCUUGAGCUCGUGUUUGUAGCGAAGGCCGCGCGCGUUGCUACGUGCCGAGCGGUGGCCACAUCGCGUGCCCGGCGAGGCACACUCAAGGGACUCGUGCCUUUGCCGCUGUGAGCAGCACUCCUCUGUGCGUCGUUGAAGCUCUCGAGUUGGUGGUCUAGGCAAGGCUGAGAGCGUCGCACAGGGAUGGGAGUGGCGCCUUCCUGAUUGUCCUGUUCUUCAUGAGCAGCAGCAGUAGCAGCAGCAGCAGCACACCUCUGCGCGUCGCUAAAGCUCUUGAGUUGGUGGUCUAGGCAAGGCUAAGAGCGUCGCACAGGGAUGGGAGUGGCGCCUGAGUUUCGCUCAUCGUUUAACAGACGACGGGAUUUUGGGGGUUCCCACACGAACCGAUUCUCUGUGACCGAUCCGGUGUAAAUACACGCCACGCGCUGAAGCUUCAACCGCGUAACUUUCAACUCAUUGGCAUCGAUUGUCGUCCACAACGCUACGAAGCCCAAACAAAAUGUCCUUUGUUGUUGUUGUUGUUGUGAGAAUAAUAAUAAACAAACAAAAACGAAAA